rnacentral:rRNA from 1 species
AUGCACAUUGGGCAUUACAGGGGAUUCAUAUUUGAGGCCUACUGGGCAAGUCUUAAUGGUUUCAAAGAUGUGGUCCAAAAGGCUUGGUGCAAGCCUGUUUUUUCAACUGGCGCUGUCAAGAAUCUGCAUAUCAAGCUAUCUAGGACCGCAAGAGUACUGAAGCAAUGGAGUAACAGUCAUGGACGAGAGCAGAGAUUUAAGGAGAAGCUUGCAACAGAGGUGAUUUUCCAAUUGGAUAUUGCUCAGGAGGACAGGGAGUUGACUCAUGUUGAAAGAGCAUUUCACACCACCCUCAAAAACAGAUUGCUUGGGUUUGCAGCAAUUGACAGAGCUCGUUGGAGACAAAGAUCAAGGGUUAUCUGGAUCAAAUCUGGUGAUGCUAAUACCAGGUUAUUCUACUUAAGGGCAAAUGGGUGA